rnacentral:rRNA from 1 species
CUUGAGGGUGGGAAGGAGGAUGGAAAGCUCCUUUAAAGACGGUACCUAGAGAGGAAGCCCCGGCUAACUACGUGCCAGCAGCCGCGGUAAUACGUAGGGGGCAAGCGUUGUCCGGAAUUACUGGGCGUAAAGGGUGCGUAGGCGGUUUUUUAAGUCUGAAGUGAAAGUCCAGGGCUCAACCUUGGGAAUGCAUUGGAAACUGGAAGACUUGAGUGCUGGAGAGGCAAGGGGAAUUCCAUGUGUAGCGGUG